rnacentral:lncRNA from 1 species
ACAAACCGAACCACUUCCACUCGAUAAUAGCAUCAGCCUAGGAUUCUGCUCCAUGAAAAAACCAUUUCGUCCAGCGAUCCUAACUCUCACUUUCUGCUGCAGCUUCAACGACGUUCCGGAGAUAAUGAAGCAGAUGCCACCACUUCCAGUGAAGUUGAACGAAGAGCUGGCGAACACCAUCCUUCCCCGAACAAACAUCAACUAACCGCGGCCCAAAGGAUCCGACCUGCUCGAAUGAAUUGGUUUGGAGACAAGCCCCAAAUCCAUCCGUGAGCCUUGAGUCGGUGUAAAAAAACUAAUUUGUAGUGGUUCUUUUAGUCAUAUACCUUGUUUUUGGUUUUGAAAGUGAAAGCAGUUUUGCUUGGUAGGAAGAAUCUCAGAAAUGUUUUGUUGGUGUUGUAAUAGAUUAUAGACAAUAAGCAACUUGUGAAUUGUGAUGUUGCUGUGAGUAACGUUAUAAGGUUUAGUUAGAAUGGAUGGAGAGGGUCUAGGCGACUGAGGUUCCUAAAGUAACCAAGGGUGCACCUAUCAACAGUAGGCAACUGAGGCUUCUUUGCAAGCGGACUUGUUGAAGACCCUCCAACAAACCAAGGAAUGAUCAAGUUUUGAAGUUUCUAUUCUCUUUUCCAAUCUUGCAAAGAAUGGUGUAGAUGUAGUUGGACUUGUUGAACCUCGAGUCAUCAAUGAAAAGGCUGAUGCACUUUUUUGCCGCUUUAUUCCCUGGUUGGCUAGGGGAGUUCCUUUCUAUGGUACACUGGCUUAUGCGGCUAAUGACCUUGGUAAUCAGCUCUUUUCUACUGCCGGUAUGGAGGAUUUUCAUAGGUGUGUUAGUAAUUUUACUUGCGGGCCUUAUUUUACUUGGAUUGACAUGAAAUUGCUAUAUCUCAGAGAGCCAUUUCUCUCGGAUCUAUAACAGUCGAUCCAAAGGUCAAGAAUCAUUUUAGCCAAUUUCAAUUUGACGGUUGAAAUUUUGUUAGGGGUAUAACGGGAAUUAAAAAUAUUCUCUCUCUUUCGACUUUUCUUUCUCUCUCCUCUCUCUCUACUGUUCUCGCGUAAACUGGAUAUAAUUGUAACACCCCAACAACACCAAACUAGAAAUCAUAUUGUUUACAUGAAAUAACGGAAACUUUUAGGGCUGUUACGCUCCAUAUGACGUUACCAAAAAAUGACCAAAUAACCCAUCUAAUUCUUUUCUUAAAUCAAUGGCCCUGCAUUGUUAAAAAUCCAAUAUUAAUCACUGUUAAAAGCAUUGCAUGUUGACUCGUGAAAUAUAUAGAUAUGUUCAUUUCGUACAAACCACAAUAGGAAUCCACAAGGAUACAAAAUAGCUGAAAAGUCAUUGACUCCACCAAUAUAAAUGGAGUUGUCAAAUACGUUGCCUUUAUGGCCAUUACACAUCAUAACACAAUCUAACACACUUUAAACACACAUGACAUAUGCAUACGACGAAAGAUAUAUAAAUCUUAAAAUCCAUUUAAAAUAGUUGAGUGUCAAGACACAUUCUUUCGAUUCUACAUGGCAUCAUCGCCACGAUCGCCCAUCGAUGAUCCAAUCCUUGUUGCCAUGAUGCUUAGCUGUAGAAUCUCAGUGUGUACCGGUUCCACCUACUGUCCGUCUGAGGAAAAAUAAGGGUCAGUGCUAAUCACUGAGCGAGGACCCUCAGCCCUGAGUCACUCUAAGGUGCAUUCAAUCAUAUAACAUUUAUUCCCAACAUGAAACACACGUGGUUACUCUUAGGACACUAGCUCUUUAUUUCAUAUUUUAUUUGGGAUCCCGACACGUGUAUGCUGGAGGAUCCACCGGUCCCAUUCACUUCUAUACCUGCUUCCAUUCACUCUUAUACUUGCUCCCAUCCCCUCUCUACUUGCCACACUAUCUUUAUCUCUAUACCCGAAUCAAGUUCUUCCCCUCUGCCUCAAUUUCGUUUCCUACCCUCACCACUCAUAAAUCCCCCCUUCCCUUUUCUCCUAACCACUCCAGUCACCACUCACAUAUCACAUCUUCCAUUUUCCCUUUGUAUUUUAGUGAAGCAGAGGCAUAUAUACACCAUAUAUGAGAUGUUCAUCAUGUAUUGGAUUGUUUAUGGCAUCAUGUAUUAUAUUAGGUCUAACGAUAUUUUAGUACGACUGGUGUAAGAUGUUACAACUCUUCCCUCCUUAAAAAUAUUUCAUCCUCGAAAUUCAGACUCUAUAAAUGACCUCUAGCCCUCUUAUUGUGUCUGAACUAUUUUGGUGUUUGCCAUCUACCUAACUCAAACUAUCAUGCAAGUAGGUAACAAAUAAGGUUUGCAUGUUUUAGGUUUUAAGAUAUAUAUACUAGGUGACCAUUAAAUAGACAUAUCAAAUAGCAUGUAAUAAUAAAUCAACCUGGUAGAUAUGCCCCAAUAAGGUCAGGGUAUUUCUCUUGCAUACUCGCUUCAGUUUUCCAUGUAGUAGAUUCACUCUCAUGAUUCUGCCACACCACCUUAAUCAUUCGGAUUUGCUUACUUCUUAAAAUUUGAAUCUACAGAUCAACAAUCUUUACUAGCACCUCCUGAUACGCCAAAUCUUCUUUCGGCUCCACCUCAUCCGGCCUGAUCACAUGGGAUGGGUCCACAUGAUACAUCUUGAGCAUACUCACAUGAAACACAUUAUGGAUUCGGUCCAAAUUCCUUGGCAGAGGUAAGAUGUAUGCAACAGACCCUACUUUACCGAUAAUGUCAUAAGGUCUGAUGUAUCUUGGGGCUAACUUUCCUUUCCUCCCAAACCUCAUCACACCCUUCCAAAAAGAGACCUUAAGGGAAACCUUUUCAUCAACCUCAUAAGUUACCUCCCUAGCUCGACGAUCCGCAUACUGCUUUUGGCGAUCCUGAGCCACUCUAAGUCUUUUCCGAAUUACCUUCACCUUAUCAGAUGUUUCUUGUACCAAUUGGGGUCCCGUCUUUCUCCUUCCUCAUCACAACAUAACGGAGUCCUACACUUUCGCUCAUACAAUGCCUCAUAUAGAGCGGCACCGAGGCUGAUAUUGUAAGAGUUAUUCUAAGAAAAUUCCACAAGAGGUAAUAGCCUGGUCCAUGGCGUUUCAAACUCAUUUACACAUGUCCAUAGUACCUCCUCAAGGGUAAAUAUCGUCCUCUCUGACUGCCCAUCUGUUUGCGGAUGAUAAGCUGUAGAGAAGUUCAACCUUGUCCCCAAUGCUUAAUACAAAAUUUUCCAGAAGUGCGACUGAAAGCUGGGAUCUCGAUUGGAAACAAUGGAGAGUGGAACUCCAUAAAGCCGCAUUAUAUGCUCUACAUAUAGUCGUGCUAACAUUUCAUUGUUGGGCUUGAACUUGAUCGGUAUGAAGUGAGCUACCUUAGUUAUUCUAUCCACAAUUACCCAUACUGCAUCCUUCCCUUCUUUUGUUGGAGGUAACCCGCUCAUGAAAUCCAUAGUAAUAUGCUAAAAUCCCACUCUGAAUUGGUAACGACUGCAGCUUACCCAUCGGUGCCUGAUGCUCUACCUUUGUCUUUUGGCAUAUUAGGCAAGUCAAUACAUGUCCAGCUGCCUCUCUCUUCAUUCCCGGCCACAAAAAAUGUGGUUUGUUGGUUUGGUACAUUUUUUCGGCCCUGGAUGCAUGUCAUACAUGGAAUAAUUUACCUCGUCCAAUAUCUCUUUCCGUAAGCUAUCCACAUAUGGGACACACACUCGUCCUUUCAUCUUCAGCAAGCCAUUGGAUAUCUCAAACUGAUCUUUGUUUCCUUCUUCUACCUCGUUUAUGAUCUUUUGAAUUUUGGGAUCCUCUCUUUGUUUUUCCCUUAUUAGAUCAUGAAGUAGGGGUCUAAUAGACAAUCAAGUCAACGUUGCCACCUCAUUCAUUUUCAUGUCCACCCUUAAGGCUCAUAGACCCACCAAAUUAGGAAGUCUUUUUUUUUCUGCUCAAUGCAUAUGCUAUCACAUUAGCUUUGCCAGGAUGAUAUUUUAUAGUGAAAUCGUAGUCGUUUAGGAGCUUAAUCCACCUCCUCUCUCGGGUUUUUAAUUCUUUAUGGCCCAUCAGAUAUUUUAAGCUCUUAUGAUCCGUCAUAAUCUUAAAUGUUUCACCGUAAAGGUAGUGUCUCCAUAUCUUCAAAGCAAAUACCACUGCCGCCUGUUCUAGAUUAUGGGUAGGAUAAUUCACUUUGUGUGGUCAUAAUUGCCUUGAUGCGUAGGCAAUCACCUUCUCAUCCUGCAUUAGCGCACAACCCAUACCCCAAUGAGAUGCAUCAAUGUACACCACAUACUCUCCCUUGGUAGUCGGUAGGGUGAGUACAGGUGUGGUAGUGAGUCUAGUCUUCAACUCUUCAGAACUUGCUUUGCACGUCUCAUUCCAAUUAUAAGGUGUGUCCUUUCUUAGCAGCUUUGUCAAUGGCGUAGCAAUAUUUGAGAAUCCUUCCACAAACCUUCUGUAGUAUCUUGCCAUGCCCAUGAAGCUUCGUAACUCGGACACAUUAGUGGGUGGCUUUCAUUCAAGCACAACUUCAAUUUUUCUUGAAUCGACCUCAAUUCCCUUUCCAGAUAUUAGGUGGCCCAAGAAUAAAACUUCCUUCAACCAAAAAUCACAUUUUGAAAACUUUACAUAUAGCUUCUUCUCCCUUAAAACAUUCAGGACCAUUAUGAGAUGUUCGACGUGCUCUUCCUUAUCCUUUGAGUAUAUCAGAAUUUCGUCAAUGAAUACUAUCACAAAUUUAUCAAGGAAUUCACGGAACACCUUGUUCAUAAGGGCCAUAAAUGUUGCUGGUGCAUUUAUCAAUCCGAAUGACAUAACCAAGUACUCAUAAUAUCCAUAACGAGUAUGAAAAUGCGGUCUUAGGGAUGGCCGAUUCCGAAACUCUCAAUUGAUGGUAGCCUGAUCUUAGGUCACUCUUUGAAAAUACGAAUGCACCCUGAAGUUGGUCAAAUAAGUCGUCAAUCCUUGGUACAAGAUACCUUUUUUUAACUGUUGCUUGGUUCAACCGAUGGUAGUCUAUACACAUCCUCAUUGACCCGUCCUUCUUUUCACAAAAAGUACAGGUGCACCCUAGGGUGAGACGCUUGGCCUUAUAAAUCCCUUGUCAUAAGUUUUUGUAGCUGCUUUUUCAACUCUUCCAACUCUUCUAGUGCCAUUCGAUAGGGUGCUUUUGUAAUAGGUGCAGUGCCUGAUACAAAUUUGAUGUCAAACUCGGUCUCUCUCGCAGGAGGAAGUGUUGAAAAUUCUUCUGGAAACACAUCCAAGAACUCCUUGACCACCUGCACAUCCUCCAUCUUAUCUGUCUUAUCUACCGUCACAUGUGCAAGAUAGGCUUCACAUCCACCACGAAUAAGUUUGAAAGCUUGCAUGGCUGACAAGAACGGAGACCCAUCUCGUUCAUUUCUUUGGAUACCCCUAAACACCACUUCCCCUAUUUCAGGAGUACUAUACCUAACUUCCUUCUUCUGAUGAACCACCGCCGCCCCAUGUUGAGAUAGCUAGUCCAUUCCAAAGAUUAUAUCAAAUUCAUCCAAUAGUAUCAAGAUCAAGAUUUCCAUUAGGUAGACUCCCUCAAUACUUAUGGGGACGUUCCCAAUACUCGAACUUGCAACUAAGGUUUUUCCAAGCGGGGUCCUAACCACAAAGCAAUACCCCAACUCUUCAGGUUCUACUUUCAACAUCCGUGCAGACUGACAUGAAAUAAAGGAAUGCAUAGAACCAGUAUCAAAUAAGGCAUACAAGGUACAUCCAAGGAUGGAGAGUUUACCAGUAACGACGUCUGCCUAUGCUUCCUUAUGUGUCAUAGCAUAAACACGACCCUGGGCUUGUCCUCCGGUAUGCAUGACUCUGAUGGAUUGAGACCGACCACCUAAUGGUUGUGCAUUAGCUCCAGUGACUCUCCCUCUUUGAGAGCCUCUGCCUCCUUGAAAGCCAUCUCCAUGACCUCCCCUAAAUCCACUCCUAGUUGGAGAUCGAUUCGCUGAACAGAUACCUCAGAUGGCGCCUGUCUAACCAUUAAUGGGAAGUUGAUAACCCGAUGCCCUAGUUCACCGCACUUGAAGCACCCUCCUGAAAGAAAUCUGCAUACUCCUGGGUGCCUCUGUCCAAAAUGUUAACAAACUGGGUUUUGCAUAGUUGUGUAACUCGUCUGUUGGUGUGAUACUGUCUGGGCAGAUCUCUAAUACGUUAUCCCACUAGACCCCUUCUUCGUCAACAAUCCCUAGGCAGAGUGGACCUGUGUCUAACUCACCGCCUUCCUUUUCCUAUCUUCACUCUUUGCUUUCCAUUCCACCUUCCCCGGGUUAUCCAAGUGUUCUGCACUAAAAGCUGCCUCUUUGAUGGUUGUCAUACUAGUUAUGUCAGAACUUGCUAUCCCUUUCUGAAUGUUUGUUCGAAAACCUGUCGAAAAACGUUUCUUCUUCAUUGUUUCAUGCUCUGUUGGAAUAGUAAGAUGCCGCAUUGAUAGCUCGAUGAACAAAAUAUGAUAAUUAAUAACUUUCAUAUCUCCCUACUUUAGAGACGCAAACUCCGACGUCUUGUCCUCCUUCCAGUGCUUGGGAAUGAACUCGGCAACAAAUCUCCUUUUUAACUCUUUCAAGCCAAUCAUAAAGGGAUCCUCCUCAUCAAUUGUCAUAGCUUCCCACCAUGACCUAGCAUGGCCUCGAAGCGAGAAAACUGAGUAGCGAAGCCGAUCAUCAGGUGUUGCCCUCAGAUGACCAAACACCGCUUUCAUGUCACAAAGCCAGUCGACGACGAACUGAGGAUAUGCACUUUCCCCCUAAAAAAUCCUUCCGCCUAAAUCUUGCAUCUUUUAUAAUCUAAAACAGCUGGUGACGGGUCUACUCGAACAUUUCGACCACGCCUACCACUCCCACUACUCCAGUGCACACUACAAGAAGAAUGAUCUUUUUAAUCAUCCUUUUCGAGAAAACUUUUGAUAAUCAGAAAUUUCAUUCACUUAAAAACAUUUUUUUAAAGCUCUUUUCAAAUCAUGAUGCAUGUAUGCGACUAAAAAUGCAUAUCACAAGACCCGACCACUCGAUCGCCUAGUGCAAGUACGGGUAUGGAAUACCUGCCCUCUUUUGGGGUUCGCGACGUCCCAAGAGAGUAAGAUAACAUACCUAUAAUGCUGAAGAAAACCGGCUCUGAUACCAACUUGUAACACCCCAACCACACCAAACUAGAAAUCAUAUUAUUUACUUGAAAUAACAUAUACUUUUCAGGGUGUUACGCUCCUCAUAACGUUACCAAAAACAUGACCGAAUAACCCAUUUAAUUCUUUUCUUAAAUCAAUGGCCCUGCAUUGUUAAAAAUCCAAUACUAAUCACUGUUAAAAGCAUUGCACGUUGACUCGUGAAAUAUAUAGAUAUGUUCAUUUCAUACAAACCACAAUAGGAACUCAUAAGGAUACAAAAUAGCUGAAAAGUCAUUGACUCCACCAAUAUAAACGGAGUUGUCAAAUACGUUGCCUUUAUGACCAUUACAGACUUUAAACAUAGGACAUAUGCUCACAUUCCCUCUUACUUGCCCCACUAUUUUUCUCUCUAUACAUGAAUCAAGUUCUUCCCCUCUGCCCCAGUUUCGUUUCCUACCCUCACCACUCACAAAUCCCCUCCUCCCUUUUUUCCUAACCAUUCUAGUAUUCAUCAAUAAAAAAUGAAUAACAUAUUUGUAAAGUGUAUAUAUCACUAAUAUAAAAGAGUGGUAAAAUGAACUUAAUGAUGAUAAAUUCUACUACUUGUAAGGUUGACGGAACAACGACAUAACAAGCCCGUAAAAUGGUCGUAUUAGCGACAUAACAUGCUCGUACAAUGACCACUCUAAUGUGAUUUUUGUUCCGAAACUACCCCAUUCAACUCUAUUCGUUUAACUUAUUUUCAACCGUGAGAUGAACGUUGACUUAAAAAUAACCUAAUCCGAUCUAAUGUGAUUUCUGUCGGGACAACAUCUGACGGCCUCCCGUAACCGUAGCCGGUCAAUCAAUCUUGGCUGAGUAGUUUUACUGAGAAGUUCUGUUAAUCUGAGUAAUUAUGACAAACCUGGGAAAUAAAACAGAAUCUGGCCAAUGAAUAAUUUGAUACCUACUCUUAAUAAAAAAUUAAGAUAGAAUUAACCCAUAUUUAAUGCUUCCUUAUCCAAGAAACCUCGAGCCAAUGAAACUUUUUAUAAGUAAUUGAAACUCGAGUAACUGACCAACUACAUGCAUUCUGCCCAAAUAGAAAAUAAACAAUUUCCUCGCCGGUCUGAGUUUCGUAACCGUCCGUUGCAUGCUCAACACUUGACAGUCAGUCAGCUUGGCUUUUCUUUCUGCGAUAUCAGCACUCGAAUUCCGAAGCGCCGAAUUGUUCUGCAUUCGUUGCGAGGCGAGGUAGUGCAAUUGUCAGUCGAAGGUGGAAGGAAACCGUGGAUGUGUGGGUUUGGGGGUUUUGAAAGGGCUUUUUGAAUGGCGAAUCCAUCGGGGAAGCAACUUCAAAAUCGUAAUCAGGAUGCUCCGACUAGUAAUAACAACAAUAACAACAAUGAUUCUUCUUCUUCACUCAACGGGACCAAUCCGGCUAACGGAUAUCUGGAGAGUUCGAAUCCCACCGUCGCUGCUUUGAAGCAUAACCCUGGCAUCUCUAACGAUUGGACUCCGGAAGAGCAGUCGAUACUAGAGGAUGGCCUUGCCAAGUGAGAUUUCUUGUUCUCUGUUUGCUUGUUUGCCUGAAAUCUUUUGGAAUUCUGUUGGUUGAACUGUUUUGCUUGCUUGCUUGCUGAAUUAUGCAUCCACAACGUACAACUCUGCAGCAUGUUCUAAUUUGCCUCGCUGUCUAAGGAAUGUAAAUUGAUUUUUAGUUCAAUUACCUUAGCUGCUUCACCAAUAUCCUUUUGGAUUUAGCUCUUUGUCUCCCUGUUGCUACAGGUAUGCAUCGGAGUCCAACAUAGGCCGUUAUUCAAAGAUUGCUAAACAGCUCCCGUGUAAGACAGUUCGAGAUGUUGCUCUGCGUUGCAGAUGGAUGUCGGUAUGAUUCUUGUUUUCAAUCACCUUCAAUUCUUAUCCUUAUUUUAUUUUGGCUUCAUUAGACUUUGAGACUUGCUUCGCGAAUGUUGUAAACAUGUUUUGUCGAAGAGGUGAGGCUAAUGUUCUUUGACAUGGUGCUGUCUGAUUCAAAAGUUUUUUCUUCAUUUAGUUCAGACUGAUCUAUUUCUUGGUGGUGCAGAAAAAGGAAUCUAGCAAGAAAAGGAAGGAGGAAAACGUAAGAAGAGGCAAGGAUAAGAAGGUAUGAUUUUCUUUCUCUGUCGGGUUUGUUUGCAAAUACAAGGAAGGCGGAAAAUCCAGCUCUGUUUCUUUUCUGUAUUAGGAUUAAGCUUGAUGGGCAGUUAGUAUGAUCUUUUCGGGAAAUUAGCGUAAAAGGACAUUAUGCACGUUCUUCUUCGAUUGAGUCCCAAUUGGGUUCUGGAUAUGUUUUCAUUUGCAAAACUAUGAUGCCUACUGCUAGAAUCUGGAAGAUGAAGUCUUAAGGUGAUUGGUAAUAUUUCUUCUGUUGGCUGUAAUGAAAUUUACUGUAAUGAAAUUUAUCGAUUGUUGUUUAACAGGAAAAACUUACUGAUGCAUCAACAAAGCCAUCUUCUACCGUUGUCCGCCCUAAUGCUCCUGCAUAUGCAAAUACAGUGGCUCCUACUGACUAUGAUGAUGGCAUCUCUUUUAAAGGUUGUUAAAUGCUCCUACCAUGUUACAAUUGCGUCUGCUAUUGCUGACUCACUUUCUCAUAGUUGGAGACGUACUUAGGAUGAUAUAAUUAUAUAACUAUUGAACUUAAAAUAGCGGGUUUUCCCUUGCAUGGGUUGAUAAUGGAGACUGUCAACGGUAAUUUCAUACUCUUGUUAGUUAUGGGAAGGUAUUGAUGAAUUGGCUAGAACACGGUAGGUUUUUGCUAGAAUCCCUCUCUUCUCAUUUUAUUGAUUCGCAUGAUUUACAUAGGGAGGAUAUAUAUAAGCCAAGUUAGGAGAGAUAUAUCUUAACUGAAAUAUAUCAUAAAUCAAAUCUUUCUAUAAUUAGACUAGGAAUUACCUGUUACCGCUAACUAUUAUUAUAUGCUAACAAAUAUCUUUUAACACUCCCCCCUCAAGUUUGGUGUAGAUGUUAAUUAACUUAAGCUUGGCCAUUAGAGUCUUGAACAUGUAUCUGGACAAGGCCUUAGUUAACACAUCUGCAGUUUACUGCGUCGAAGGCUCAUACUCCACCGAAUAACUCCAACAUUAACAUUGUCUGUGAUAAAUUGUUGAUCCACCUCGACACGUUUAGUUCAAUCAAUGAUGGACUGGAUUUCAGACAAUGUUAAUGGCAGCUUGAUUGUCACAUAGGACCUUGAUAGGGCUUUCAUAAGUGAUCUUCAGUUCAUUUAGGACUUGUUUCCACCAUAUACUUUCACAAACUCCGAGAGCUAAGGCUCUAUAUUGUGCCUCUGCCUUUCUGUUUCUUGCUCCGUCAAGUAACCAAAUUUCCCUUAAUAGAUAUCCUAAGAUCUGCUCUUAGUACGGUCUCCAAUCCAUUUUGCAUCAGUAUAAACUGUUAUCCUCUGAGAUUUUUUCUUGAAAUGAAUCCCUUUUCCCUGAGAACCUUUAAGGUACCUUUGAAUUCUAGUUACCAUUGCCAUAUGCUCCUCAUUUGGACAAAUGUUGACUCACGAUCUCAACAACAAACGUAAUAUCAGGACGAGUAUGAGCUAGGUGUAUAAGCUUACUUACAAGACGUUGGUAGCUAUCUUUCUCCACUGUUGGGAUGUCCCGACUCUUACUGAGCACCUUGUUUUGCUCCAUUGGUGUAUCAAUUGGCUUAUAUUCAAGCAUUACCACUUCUAACACAUACUAUUUUUCAGAGCAUAAUCUCUUUCUGAGAUCUUCAUACCUCCAUUCCUAGGAAAUAUUUUAUGUUCCUAGGUCUUUUAUCUCAAAUUCCUUUGCAUCAAGAACGUCCAAGUUACGUGGGUGUGAUCAUCAAUGAAGGUGAUAAUCCACCUUGCACCGUUAAUAUUUUGGAUUUUCAUAGGCCCCUAUAUAUCACUGUGCACAACACUGUGAUUGGUUGAUAACCAACUCCUAGAUAUACAUCAUCGAGUAUGCUUAGCAAGUUGAUACACUUCACAUUCAAAAACCUUUGAACUUUUAUUUUGAAACAAUUCUAGAAACAACUUCUCUAGACAAGAAAAACUAGGGUGUCCAAACCUAAAAUGCCACAAAGGGCUAUAUCUGAGUGUUUUCUAUGCUAGAAACAACAUUUGCACUUCUACUUUCUCCAGAGUGAUGCUCCACGUCCUCAGUGCCCUUCAUGAGAUAAGAGUACAUCACAUCCUCAGUUUCGGCUCAGCUUUCUCAACUUGGAGCACUUGAGUGAACAUCUUCUGGAGAGCUUCCAAUCGACCCUUUGACAAUUGAGUGUCAUCACCUGCUUUCAGCAUUAGCAUGACCUUAUAAGCUAGGUUAUGAGAGACCUACAUAAACUGAAAUAUAUCCUAAAUCUAAUCUUUCUAUAUUAGAUUUGGAAUUAUCUGUUACUGCUAACUAUUAUUAUACGAUAACAACUAAUAUCUUUCAACGUGUAUAUGAUCUUUUUCUCCUUUAAAAGGACUUACAAGCCAUUUAUGAAGCCUUUUCUUUUAAUAUCUCUAAUCGGUUAUGAAUUCUUAAUACUAUUCAUUUGUCACUUCUAGGUGUGUUUUGACGUAUGACAAAUUUAUUAUCAAUUACGUAUAGAUUUUCUUAUUGAUUAUAGCACUUUUUUCUGUAUUUCCAAGCUAUUGGCGGAGUAACUGGAGACCUCCUCGAGGAAAAUGCACAGGCAUUGAGUCAAAUCACGUCUAAUCUUUCAACCAUGCAGGUGACUGCUUUUGCUGUGGUAGUUUAAUUAUGUUGCAAUGUUGUUUAUGUCCAUUUAUUAUUGACAGUUAAGAUUUCUUUCUUCAAAACUAAUGGUUAUGAAUGUAUUUCUAAAGAAAAUGUAUAGAAUUCCCCUAAGGUUGAGGUUAUGCUAGACGGCCUCAGAUAUCGAGAGUUUGAAACGACUCUCCCUUAAGGGGCUGACAUGUGGAGAGCCAGAAGACUUGUGCUUGUUCUGUUUGGAAGUUAGAUUCUGUUACCAUUAUGAUGAUUAAGUUUCCUUCUUUUGCAAAUCAUUAAGUUCCCUUGUUAUGAUUAAUUUAUCAAGAUUAGUUUCCGAUGGUCUAGCUGGAGGAUUAUCAGUUAUUAAGAGUGGAGAUUGUUCGUGCAUUCAUGGUGCAGUCCCUACUGUGGCUGUUUGCUUAAUUUGUCUCUGCGAUUCUUAUAAAUAUCCUGCCUGCAGAUUUAUAUCCGUACAAGAGUUUCAAAUUAUGUAUCACAAAUAUAGCCUAAAUAGAGUCGGUUGGUUAUCUUCCUGUUUACCUAUUGUACCCCCUAGUUUCAAAGCAUUUCACUGUUAAGUGCUGACUGUCAAUACUGUCUCCGGUUUCAUUAGUUGAUAUGGAGGUUGUUGAUUAAUGGGCUAGUUAUCAAUAUGCACAUUCUAUUUGGGAUUCAGUGGAUGCCUAACAUUGCUGCUUCACUUCCAAUAUAUGUUUCCUUUUCGGCACCUUUUAGAUUUUGUUGAUGAUAUAUUCUUAUGUGCUUCAAAUGCCACCCAGCUGUGUUGAACUAGUAAUUUGACCAUGCCAAUAAAUCCUGCCUGUUUUGGCUUUGUUAUGGAAUGUGCUAUGGGUUGAAUUAGGACUGUAUUAUCAUUGCCUAUAGUUUGACUGACUUAGGACUGUAUUAUCUAAUGUAGUCUACGUUGCAGUUUUGGUCUAGUUGAGUUUCGUUUGUCAAAAAAUCCAUCAGUUCCACUCCUCUGUGUAUAUUCCCUUUUGUAGCAAGUGUUCUUAACAAGAUAACCUAACAACUAAUAGGUUUGAAUUAAUGAUAAUUCUUCAUUAGACAAGAUCGUGUCUUUGUUCUCUGUCUUAACUGGCUUAUCUUGUUGUAUGUUUUCUCGAAUUUACAUAAAAACUAUGUGGAUAGUCUUAAGCUCAACAUGCAUCGUAAGUUCUGUUGCAGCAGAUUUAGCAUCAGUAGUUGGAUCACUGUAUAUCACAAGUGCUGCUUUGGAUUUCUUUAUCUCCAUCUCAUAGGCUGUUCAUGACUUAACUGGUUCUCCUUCCUUUCUCCAGAUGCAGGAUAACAUCAACCUACUUUGCCAGACUCGUGAUAACUUCCUCAAAAUUAUGAACAAGUACACUUCAGAGUUUGCCCUUCUUUUACUCCUUAUAUCUCCUCUCAAUCUCUCUUGGUGCAAAAAUUUCUUUCGUCAAUUUCACUCUUUUGUUUCUCAGUCCCUUCUUAGGAUGCAGUGCCUGUUUAAAAGAUCACUUGUACUUCUUCUUGCUGGAAAUUUCUAAAGCUUUAUUCAGUGUGUUGUGUGAGUUUGACCUACUGCUUUUAGUAAAGCAAGCCACUCAUGUCGCCAAGGGGUGGGAUUUUGUUUGCGGUUAGUGGUUAUAACCGCAAACCUCACAGAUUAUUGUGGUUUGCGGUCAAUUGUGGUUUUCGGCAGCCAUUUUGGUCAAAUUGUGUUGGCGGUUAAACCGCAAACCGUACGGUUAACCGCAAACCAAACCACUUCCACUCGAUAAUAGCAUCAGCCUAGGAUUCUGCUCCAUGUAAAAACCAUUUCGUCCAGCGAUCCUAACUCUCACUUUCUGCUGCAGCUUCAACGACGUUCCGGAGAUAAUGAAACAGAUGCCACCACUUCCAGUUAAGUUGAACGAAGAGCUGGCGAACACCAUCCUACCCCGAACAAACAUCAACUAACCGCAGCCAAAGGAUCCGACAUGCUCGAAUGAAUUGGCUUGGAGACAAGCCCGAAUCCAUCUGUGAGUCUUGAGUCAGUGUAAAACUAAUUUGUAGUGGUUGUUUUAGUCAUAUACUUGGUUAAAGGUUUUGAAAAGUGAAAGCAGUUUUGCUUGGUAGGAAAGAGAACCUCAGAAAUGUUUUGUUGGUGUUGUAAUAGUGGAUUAUGGUUUAGAGGUAUAGACAAUAAAGCACCGUGUGAUUCUGCUGUGAAUAUGUUCAAGGGUUUUUUUUGGCUAUCCUACUGGGG